rnacentral:rRNA from 1 species
GACGAACGCUGGCGGCGUGCUUAACACAUGCAAGUCGAACGGAAAGGCCCUGCUUUUGUGGGGUGCUCGAGUGGCGAACGGGUGAGUAACACGUGAGUAACCUGCCCUUGACUUUGGGAUAACUUCAGGAAACUGGGGCUAAUACCGGAUAGGAGCUCCUGCUGCAUGGUGGGGGUUGGAAAGUUUCGGCGGUUGGGGAUGGACUCGCGGCUUAUCAGCUUGUUGGUGGGGUAGUGGCUUACCAAGGCUUUGACGGGUAGCCGGCCUGGGAGGGUGACCGGUCACAUUGGGACUGAGAUAGGGCCCAGACUCCUACGGGAGGCAGCAGUGGGGAAUAUUGCACAAUGGGCGGAAGCCUGAUGCAGCAACGCCGCGUGCGGGAUGACGGCCUUCGGGUUGUAAACCGCUUUCGCCUGUGACGAAGCGUGAGUGACGGUAAUGGGUAAAGAAGCACCGGCUAACUACGUG